GACGAACGCUGGCGGCGUGGAUUAGGCAUGCAAGUCGAACGGUAUCAUCCUUUCGGGGGUGAGAGAGUGGCGAACUGGUGAGUAACACGUAGGUUAUCUACCCUCAAGACGGGGACAACCCAGGGAAACUUGGGCUAAUACCGGAUGUGAGCAACUUUUAGUUGUUUGAAAGGUGGCGUAAGCUGUCGCUUGGGGAUGAGCCUGCGUCCUAUUAGUUAGUUGGUGAGGUAACGGCUCACCUGGGCAAUGAUAGGUAGGCGGCCUUAACGGGUGGUCGCCCACACUGGGAUUGAGAUACGGCCCAGACUCCUACGGGAGGCAGCAGUCGAGAAUAGUCUACAAUGGUCGGAAGACUGAUAGUGCGACGCCGCGUGAACGAUGAAUCCCUUCGGGGUGUAAAGUUCUUUUAUAUGUGAGCAGUGCUUCUUAUAUUAACAGUAUGGGGAGAGAGAUAUUAGCAUAUGAAUAAGCAACGGCUAACUCCGUGCCAGCAGCCGUGGUAAAACG
rnacentral:rRNA from 1 species